rnacentral:rRNA from 1 species
AGAUAGAGUUUGACCCUGGCUCAGGAUGAACGCUGGCGGCGUGCUAAACACAUGCAAGUCGGACGGUCGGCACUGGAAGUUUCGCUGGAAGGUGCCGGUAGUGGCGGACGGGUGAGUAACGCGUGAGGACAUGGCUCCAGGAGGGGGAUAACGUUUGGAAACGGACGCUAAGACCCCAUAUGCCGGAAGGUGAAAGUGGGCAACCAGCCUGGAGAGUGACUCGCGUCCUAUCAGCUAGUUGGCGGGGUGAAGGCCCACCAAGGCGAUGACGGGUAGCCGACCUGAGAGGGUGGCCGGCCACACUGGAACUGAGAUACGGUCCAGACUCCUACGGGAGGCAGCAGUGGGGAAUAUUGGGCAAUGGGCGAAAGCCUGACCCAGCGACGCCGCGUGGGGGAAGAAGUCCCUCGGGAUGUAAACCCUUGUUGUACGGGACGAAGGAAGUGACGGUACCGUACGAGGAAGCCCCGGCAAACUACGUGCCAGCAGCCGCGGUAAUACGUAGGGGGCGAGCGUUGUCCGGAAUCACUGGGCGUAAAGCGCACGUAGGCGGGCUGUUAAGUCGGCCGUGAAAGGCACUGGCUCAACCGGUGUUUGUCGGUCGAUACUGGCAGUCUGGAGUAUGGGAGAGGGAACUGGAAUUCCCGGUGUAGCGGUGGAAUGCGUAGAUAUCGGGAGGAACACCAGUGGCGAAGGCGGGUUCCUGGCCCAUGACUGACGCUGAGGUGCGAAAGCCGGGGGAGCGAACGGGAUUAGAUACCCCGGUAGUCCCGGCUGUAAACGAUGGAUGCUAGGUGUGGGGGGGUUCCCCUCUGUGCCGCAGCUAACGCGAUAAGCAUCCCGCCUGGGGAGUACGAUCGCAAGAUUGAAACUUAAAGGAAUUGACGG